GGAUUUGAUCAUACCAGCACUAAAGCACCGGAUCCCAUCAGAACUCCGAAGUUAAGCGUGCUUGGGCGAGAUUAGUACUAGGAUGGGUGACCUCUUGGGAAGUCCUCGUGUUGCAUUCC
rnacentral:rRNA from 1 species